rnacentral:other from 1 species
CGGGUGCUGCCUGGUACGUCAGGAACACAUACUCUCGGGGCCUUACGGUCCUCAAGGGAGCUGUCCCUGAGGGAGACCGUGGUCUUCUUCAUACGGCGCCCACCUACGUUAGUAGGUCUCCGGGGAACGAAGUUCCAACGGCCAAGGUGGCCCCACC